CCCUUAGAUGUUCUGGGCCGCACGCGCGCUACACUGACUACUUCAACGAGUUGUUUCCUUGAUCGAAAGGUCUGGGUAAUCUUUGAAAGGUAGUCGUGAUGGGGAUAGAUCCUUGCAAUUUUUGAUCUUCGACGAGGAAUUCCUAGUAAACGCAAGUCAUCAGCUUGCAUUGAUUACGUCCCUGCCCUUUGUACACACCGCCCGUCGCACCUACCGAUUGAAUGGUCCGGUGAAUCUUUAGGACUGUGGCUGAGGCCUUGCCUUGUGCGGGUCUGGCCGUGGGAAUUUAGUUAAACCUUACCAUUUAGAGGAAGGUGAAGUCGUAACA
rnacentral:rRNA from 1 species